ensembl:lncRNA LINC01646 long intergenic non-protein coding RNA 1646
AUGGGUGUCUGCCACAAGGGAGGCCCCAACAGCGAUGGCUGCAAACCCUUGGAGGUGGCAUUGCCAAAAGCGGACGUCAAUAGAUGUAAUGCAAAAAUAGUGUCUUGUGUUCAAAAAAGGUUGGGAAAUACUGAGUGAAAGAAUAGUGCACAAACCAUAGGCACACAGCUCAAGGAAUUAUCAGGAAUUGAACAUGUCCACGUGUGCCCAACCCAGCUCUCCAGCACACCUUCCCAGCCUCAACCCAUCAUCUGGAUUCUGAGGAACAGUGCCUGCUGCUCAGUCAAUGCCUGAUGAUGGAGUGAACAGAUUUCUGCUUUCUGUGGCCACCUCUGGGCCACAGAAAGGCCCAGAGGUUACAAGCAACCUCUGGUCUUUGAAGAAGGAGCAAAAGGACAGAGAAGCCUCGGGGGAAAGAGAAUGGGGCAUUCCAGGAUGGGAAUUCCAGGGUGGGCAUUCCAAGGAGUAAGAGGAAUUCUGGGAAGGAGGACACUCGUGAUGCAUGCAUGGCCCAUCCAGAAGGUCCAGGAUCAUCUCCCCAGCCCAAGCCUUUAAUCACAUCUGCGAAGACCCCCCUCUUCCUAUAGAAGGUGACACGGUCCCAGGUUCUGGGAAUUAGGACACAGACACCUCUGUUCAGCUGACCACAGCCACUGGGGGACCCACUGUUGAUCCCCCAUCCAUUCUGAUAAAGGCUUUCAUGAUGUCAGAAA